rnacentral:rRNA from 1 species
UACGUAGGAUGCAAGCGUUGUCCGGAUUUUUUGGGUUUAAAGGGUGCGUAGGCGGCCUAUUAAGUUAGUGGUGAAAACGUUCGGCUUAACCGGAUACCCGCCAUUGAUACUGAUAGACUUGAGUGCGACAGAGGGUGUUGGAAUGUGUGGUGUAGCGGUGAAAUGCUUAGAUAUCACGCAGAACACCAAUUGCGAAGGCAGAUGCCUAUGUCGUAACUGACGCUGAGGCGUGAAAGCGUGAGGAGCAAACAGG